rnacentral:lncRNA from 10 species
UUAGCUCACUGCAACCUCCACCUCCUGGGUUCAAGCAAUUUUCCUGUCUCAGCCUCCCAAGUAGCUGGGAUUACAGGUGCCUGCCACCACACCUGGCUAACUUUUGAAUUUUUAGUAGAGAUGGGGGUUUCACCAUGCUGGCCAUGCUGGUCUCAAACUCCUGACCUCAAAUGAUCUGCCCGCCUCGGCCUCCCAAAGUGCUGGGAUUACAAGCGUGAGCCAUCGUGCCCGGCAGAGAGUAAUUGCUAUCUUAUGAGAACUUUUCUAUGUAGCUUUUGAUCCUUAUGACACCUUUGAAAUGGUCUACAUGGAAAUGGCACUUUAUGGCAGCUUCAAAAAUAAAACUGGAAAUUUUUGGAUUCUAAAAAUAACAAAAACAUGUAAAAUGUUAGAAAUAACACUACAUAUAUUUUCUUCAAAAAGUAUUAAAAUAUUAUUUCCUAAAUUUAUCUUGAGAAAGGAUGACUAUGUAACGCUGUAUGAUUUCCUUAGUUGUAUUUUGGUGCUUUGACAUUGAACAAAAAUUACAGAUAAAGUGAGACUGAGGCCGGGCCUGGUGUCUCAUGCCUGUAAUCCCAACACUUUGGGAGGCCCAUGCAGGCAGAUUACUUGAGGUCAGGAGUUCAUGACCAGCCUGGCCAACAUGGUAAAACUCCGUCUCUACUAAAAAUACAAAAAUUAGCCAGGCAUGGUGGCGGGCACCUAUAAUUCCAGCCACUCGGGAUGGUGGGGCAGGAGAAUUGCUUGAGCCUGGGCGGUGGAGGUUGCAGUAAGCUGCGAUCACGCCACUGCACUCCAGCCUGGGUGACAGAGUGGGACUCCUUGUAAACAAAAAAUCAAUAUAUAAAAAUAAAUAAAGUGAGAUUAAGUGCAGGUACAGCAAGCUAGCUUGCUAACCACUCCCAACUCCUUCCUGGCAUGGCGUCCUGCAUCAUAAAAGGCUAGAAAGCUACAAACUACACUUCCCAGAUUCCUCUGCAGUUAAGCUUUUAAGACAUCCUGUUGGUUCCUUCCAAUCAGAUGCACUGCAGUGAGCCUUUAAUUUGGAACCACACUACAUGGGAAAAGCAGCAGAUGUGCUUUGCGUGGAACGUGCAGACACAGCACAGUCCUGGAGCUGGCAGCCAGGAUCGUGGCUUCCUCACUCCU